AGAGUUUGAUUCUGGCUCAGGAUGAACGCUGGCGGCGUGCCUAACACAUGCAAGUCGAGCGAAGCAAUGUUAAGGAAGUUUACGGAUGGAAUUAAGAUUGACUGAGCGGCGGACGGGUGAGUAACGCGUGGGUAACCUGCCUCAUACAGGGGGAUAACAGUUAGAAAUGACUGCUAAUACCGCAUAAGCGCACAGGACCGCAUGGUCCGGUGUGAAAAACUCCGGUGGUAUGAGAUGGACCCGCGUCUGAUUAGUUAGUUGGCGGGGUAGCGGCCCACCAAGACGACGAUCAGUAGCCGACCUGAGAGGGUGACCGGCCACAUUGGGACUGAGACACGGCCCAAACUCCUACGGGAGGCAGCAGUGGGGAAUAUUGCACAAUGGGGGAAACCCUGAUGCAGCGACGCCGCGUGAGUGAAGAAGUAUUUCGGUAUGUAAAGCUCUAUCAGCAGGGAAGAAGUUGACGGUACCUGAGUAAGAAGCCCCGGCUAACUACGUGCCAGCAGCCGCGGUAAUACGUAGGGGGCAAGCGUUAUCCGGAUUUACUGGGUGUAAAGGGAGCGUANACGGCAGUGCAAGUCUGAAGUGAAAGCCCCGGGCUUAACCCGGGAACUGCUUUGGAAACUGUACGGCUGGAGUGCUGG
rnacentral:rRNA from 1 species